GUCGGCUGAGUGCAAAAGUUAGUGGGUUUAUGGGUUUGUAGUUUUCACAUGGGUUAUUUUGUAUAGAGAUUAUUCUAUGGUUUAGAAUUUCUCAAGAUAUGUGUUUUUUUAUAUUCCAUAGUUUGGAAUACUUUGGUUAUAGUUUAACCAUUACGGGGGAGUUCUAGUUGAACGAUUAAAUUUUUAGGUCAGUUUUUUUUUAGUCCGGUGUAUGGAC
rnacentral:lncRNA from 1 species